rnacentral:rRNA from 1 species
UGGGGAAUAUUGCACAAUGGGCGCAAGCCUGAUGCAGCAACGCCGCGUGAGGGAUGACGGCCUUCGGGUUGUAAAACCUCUUUUAGCAGGGAAGAAGCGAAAGUGACGGUACCUGCAGAAAAAGCACCGGCUAACUACGUGCCAGCAGCCGCGGUAAUACGUAGGGUGCAAGCGUUGUCCGGAAUUAUUGGGCGUAAAGAGCUCGUAGGCGGUCUGUCGCGUCUGCUGUGAAAUCCCGAGGCUCAACCUCGGGCCUGCAGUGGGUACGGGCAGACUAGAGUGCGGUAGGGGAGAAUGGAACUCCUGGUGUAGCGGUGGAAUGCGCAGAUAUCAGGAAGAACACCGAUGGCGAAGGCAGUUCUCUGGGCCGUAACUGACGCUGAGGAGCGAAAGCGUGGGGAGCGAACAGGAUUAGAUACCCUGGUAGUCCACGCCGUAAACGUUGGGCGCUAGAUGUGGGGACCAUUCCACGGUUUCCGUGUCGCAGCUAACGCAUUAAGCGCCCCGCCUGGGGAGUACGGCCGCAA